UUCACAUUCUACAUAUUAGUGUUUUUUACCACAGACAUUAACACAUUAAUUUAUUAAAGAGUUGAAUAAUUGUGAGAGGGAUCGAUACGCCUACACUCAUACACUUCACACUGUAGGCGCACAAUGCUCAUGUUAUAACUGUCAGGGUUCUUGGAAAUAAAUACAUAUUGCUCUUUUUUGCUUACAAUGUGCAACGUAUCGAGACUAUCAAGUUAUCAUAAUACGUCUUUCUUCUAAACAUUACAAAAGGUUUGUGUUUGAUAUACGAUUUUAUCUAUAACAAACUUUAUUUCUGGCUAUAUGGUAGGAAUAUGUUUGAAAUGGCAAGAAAAAUUUAACCGAAUACUUAGUAUUUACUCUCACUGCGGCGGUUGGCUGCAUGACACCAAAUUACAUAAUAAGGUGUCGCAAACGAAACCAAAAACUUGUUCAAGACCUUGAGUAGCAUUCGAACUUAAACAAUCAAAUUGUUUUGAUAUUAUUCGCAGUCCAUUUGAUGUAAAAUAUAACGAGUGUGAUGCACUGCGAGUUGUAUCAAAACGAUAUCAAAUUGAGAUUUGUAAAGUUCAAACACGACUCUUAUAAUCUCACAAGUUAAGCUUCAGAUUGUGUUAAGGUACAAAUUGAAACUAGGCGACGUGUCUUGACUGCAGACGAUGUCGCCGCGACAUCCGACCUGCGGUCGGGCGACACGUCGUCUGCGGUUCGGCGACGCGUCGCUGACUACGUGUCGCUGACUUCGAAUGAUAUUACAUAGAAACCAGUCUUGUCGUCGCGACCUUUCAAUUUGUACCUUUAGUGACUCAGCCCAAACAUAAAAACUUUCUCAGACAUGUGUUUUAUGUUUUUUAUAUCUACAGGAUAGUGCUAUUACGGGACUAAUGAUCGAAAACCAUUCUGUUCUAUUUAUAAGCAAUGAAGCUAAAAGGACUGUAUGAUUUUAUGUUACAAACUUAUCUUGUAUACUUUACUGAUAUCUAAUAUUACCGUUAGACUUAGAUAUUGGUUUACUGAAAAUAUACAGUUAAAUGCUCUAAAGGAUAUUUAAAGAAUUUUAACAAUGACAAGGGAGUUAUCAACAUUACCCUAUUUUCCCGCUAUCUCAGUGUUUUGCAAUUAACACGUAAAAAAUCACUUCCUUAAAAAACGACCUUCACUUCAAUUCGUACUCUUAACUUAACGCAAUAUGGUUUAAAUUUCUUUGUUUUUAAAUUGUAAGGUGACAAAAGUUACUUCCUUUAAAAUCGACUACUCUUCACGUAAAACGAGACUCUUUGUCCGAAGGAGUAUGGUCUAAAUUUCUUCCUUUGUUUACCCUGUAUGGCGACAUUAGCAGACAUGAGCGCGAACGGGAUCAAUGAGUCAAUGCGUGUAACUGUGCGUGUGAGUCACGGGUCAAACAACUUGCUUUAUUGAUUGGAUGCUGCGCCCUGCCCUGCGGCGCGGCGCUCAAGCAGAAUCCUCCAAAGUCCCGAAGUUCUUUUAAAAGGACAAAAUCCAAUCGAAUUUUGAACUAUAAUGGAGUAAAAGAAGAUUCCAAAUUCAAAACUGCAAAAAUGACUCUGGUACUUAUAAAGGUAGGAGGGGAGGUUAUAGCCGUAAAGCCAAUGGGAUUGAAAGUGCCAAUCACUUUUAUAAUUCUAUUCUCAUUUUCAAAACCUCUGCAGGCGCUACAAGCUGGUCAGGCGUUUGUGAAAACCUGGUGAGAAUUGUACAUAGAUAUCGGUGGAUUAAAAUCCAGGCCCGUGAGCCCCUAAUUUUGGCCAACAAGAUAGGAAAAAUCUAUAUAAACCCAGCCCUCGAAUGGAUUCUGGCUCGGUUCAAAAACAUUGGAGACCCCUACACUAAAGAUAAUGAGCAAAUUUCAUUAAAGUCAAAUAAUUCAGGCUACUUUGUUCCGGCUGACAUUUGACAGAACUUAUACUGUAACUACUCGUAGCACAGUUUAGGAACGGUAAACCUUACGUCCAUUCCAAGCCACGCGUCAUGACUCAUCGCUUUUGAUAAACAACGUACAGUUUCCCCUUUACAUGUAGUCCGACACUAUUGCUACUGAGAAUGCAUAAGGGGUUAUAAUUAUCAUCAAUGAAUGUUAGAAGGCGCUAUGUGAUUUUGAUUUGUAUACGCAAAACCCGCCUCCGACGUAGUUUUGGGAAUGGAUUCUACAAUAUGAAGUACCCUAUGUGCCACCCUACCCACUUUAUUGCACAUAAACAGGUUAACAUAAAAUAGACAAAAAAAAGUUAUGUACAAAGGCGAACUUAUCCCUAAAAGGUAUCUCUUCCAGCUAACCAUAACUUAAACUUAAAUAUUUUUUAUAAUUUUUAUUAAAAUCUGUUCAUUCGUUUAGCCGUGAGCACGUAACCAUCAAGCGGUAUGAUUUUCUCAUUUAUAAUAUUGCAAUGUAUUUCUAGAUACCAUUGAGAUGUCACGCCUACAUCUUAAAAAGGGUCCCAAAUGAUUGUUUGCGUGAAAAAUCGAUCCAGUGGCAGUGACCUGUCAAUAUUAUAACUGUACAAGGGUACAGUAAGCUGUCACCGUCAAUGACAGAUCAAUGGGCAACAUGUGGCGGAAGCCAGGGUGUCACGCACUGCCGGUGAUAACGGACUGUUUGUGACGCUUUCAGGCGAUCAGAUUUCGUUCUUAUCGACAGCAGUAAUUAUUGAACACUUUGUCUCAAAUCGUUACUGAAAUGUCGACUGACACUGCUUAGUUUCAUUUGGAUAGUUUUAUAAAUAACAGAGUGUAGGUACCUUAACUGUUUAACUCGGUAAUUAUACUUAGGUCAUAAGUUCUGUCAUAAAGGUUUUGGCUGAUAGAAUGUACUACAAAGCUUUUAAUAAAAAAAGUUGGUCAUGAUUUGAAAGCUUGUUUUAUACUGAUCAAAACAUUAUAUAAAUAUUUUAAAAUUUAGAUCGCGACAAAGUGUACUACUUGUUUACUUUGGGAUUGUUGUUAGUCGCGAAUAUGCUGCGUUGUGAAAAAUUAUACUUCACAAACCGGAGUAAAAAUCAGAGUCAAAUUAAUAAAAUAUGUACAAUUCUGUAUUUGUAUCAACCUUUAGCAUUUAGUUCUCCAACAAAUCUGUACUUCAAGUCAUCAGAUAUAUGAACACGCACUCUAACGCCUUAACAAUAGAGGCGUGUUCAGAUAUUUCUGAGCGCCUUGGCCGCUCCGAUAUAUCUGAUGGCGACUGUACCAUCGUUUACUUAAC